rnacentral:rRNA from 1 species
CAGUAGCCGCGGUAAUACGUAGGCGGCAAGCGUUGUCCGGAAUUAUUGGGCGUAAAGCGCGCGCAGGUGGUUUAAUAAAUCUGAUGUGAAAGCCCACGGCUCAACCGUGGAGGGUCAUUGGAAACUGUUAAACUUGAGUGCAGGAGAGAAAAGUGGAAUUCCUAGUGUAGCGGUGAAAUGCGUAGAGAUUAGGAGGAACACCAGUGGCGAAGGCGGCUUUUUGGCCUGUAACUGACACUGAGGCGCGAAAGCGUGGGGAGCAAACAGGAUUAGAUACCCCUGUAGUCCCUGUCUCUUAUAU